AUUUGCUGUCUUUCCAAGGCCUUCCAAGAGCUUCAACAUUUGCCAACGUUGUUGCUUGACAAACUGGGCAAUCGCUGAUGUUGGACAGGAUGCAUUCGAUGUGGAAUGAAUGUCCACAACCACGGAAAACGUUCCAAGUGGAUUAACCUUUUUGCAGGCAGGUGAAUUGCAUUUUCUAUGAUGGAAAUUUUAAAGUAAGAUUUAUAUUUUAUAUUUUAUACAGAUCUUUAUAGUCAGUUUGUCCCUGGAAAUUGUUCCAAAAUAUGAGUGUGUAGCAAAGUUAAAAUAGUACUCAUAAUCUCCAGAACAUGUUUGAAUCACAGCAGUCCUGAGACAUCAGAACUGGCAGCUGUUCAUCUGAUGAUUCUGAUCAAUGGCACCCCAUAUCUAUUUAGUGUACAAUACCAGUCAAUGUAAAUUACCACCUCCCCCAACCCAGGAGUUGGUAGUUUUUACUUUUCAGCACUGCAUAAUCAAAAUUGUUGGAUUGUAUGAAUAUCUGGUUUUGUCUCAGUGACCCUGCUUCGCCCCUUGAACCCCACAUUUCCUAGAUUCGAGCAGGCAGGGACUUAUAUUGACUGGUACUUAGUUCAAUUGCAGCAAUUGGUCUGCCUGUGUGUUAUUUUUAAGUGUACCCUGGUUCUAGAGGCUCUUUGCAAGGUGAAAGAAACAAGAGGCAAGAACGGAGAGCCUCUGGUCACAUCGAUUGCAAAUCCUACUUCCAAACUUGACUAGGUUCAGAAUUUGGACCUUGGAUGUGAUUGGCCAUUUGUAAACAACCUUUUUAAGAAAAACCUGUUUGGGAAAUAAACACUACUGUGAGCUAAUUAUAGCCUGUAUUAAAAUAUUCUAUUAAACUCAACCAAGCAUGAAUAUUAAUACUCCUACAGGUGAAAAAGGUAUCGAAUUUCUCAGGAGAUAAACAUAUUAAUCAGUUUUGCAGGACAUGUUAGUAAUACAUGCCCAAGCAUGUAUUGACUUUAAUAGAAUAUUUUAAUACAGGCUAUAAUUAGCUUACAGCAAUGUUUAUUUCCCAAACCGGUUUGACAUAUUUUUACAAAUGGCCAAUCACAUGCGAGAUUCAAAUUC